AACGCGAAGAACCUUACCCAGACUUGACAUGUAGUGGACAGUGCUAGAAAUAGCAUCUUCCUUCGGGACCGCUACACAGGUGCUGCAUGGCUGUCGUCAGCUCGUGCCGUGAGGUGUUUGGUUAAGUCCAGCAACGAGCGCAACCCUUAUCAUUAGUUGCCAACACGUAAUGGUGGGAACUCUAAUGAGACUGCCUGGGUUAACCAGGAGGAAGGUGAGGAUGACGUCAAGUCCGCAUGGCCUUUAUGUUUGGGGCUACACACGUGCUACAAUGGUCGGUACAGAAGGCAGCGAAACCGUGAGGUGAAGCAAAUCCCAAAAGCCGGCCCCAGUUCAGAUUGUAGUCUGCAACUCGACUACAUGAAGACGGAAUUGCUAGUAAUGGCGGGUCAGCAACACCGCCGUGAAUACGUUCCCGGGCCUUGUA
rnacentral:rRNA from 1 species